rnacentral:lncRNA from 1 species
CUUUUCUUGAAGAACAGUUUACUACACUAGAGCGACAACUAUGAUUUCUAAAGCCUGUCAGGCUGAAAUAGAGAAUGACAUCAGGAUUCCGUUCCAGCUUUUCCAACCGACAAUUGCUACCGAGAAAUUCAAUUAAGGACUCCUCUUCCCACUUCGAGCCGGUCUCCAGGGCAGAUCUUCCGGGCAACUCGCCCCAUGUAAGAAAUUGGAAAAUGCAACAAUAAAACAAGAAAAACUGAAAAAAGGUGCCAACUUUGAUCAGGCAUGCUCUCUCACAGUCCACCCUAAACACACAUACCCCUUUAGUUGGAAUUGGAAAGUCACCGAAAGACAGCGAAGUAGCCUACAGAUCAUUCAAGGGAAGCCAUCUCCCAUAUUAAAAAUGCCAGUGGUAUUAGCGCACAAGGUAAACAUGAAACUUUUUUUCCUUCUCGUCAAGCAUUGGGGAUGUUCGUUUUAUAUUUUAUUCUGUGUGUUUUAUACACAUGCCAUAUGUGUAUGUGUAUGUGUAUGGUUUCAUUGUGCGUAUCAAGCUUCACUAUGGACCAGUACUGUAAAUGCAAUAGGUUUAUUUCUUAUUUAUCCCCCAUA